UGUGACAUUCACCCCACAACAGAAUGUGUGACCAAGGCACCAGGACAGUAGUGACCCAUGGAAGCAAGCUGAGCCCAGGCUCUUGAGGUGGCCCAUGUGUCCAAGCCUGGCUUUGUGUUUCCUGAGGUUAAAUCUGCUGAUUGUGCUGUGUCCUCAAAGAAGACACAAGGUGAAGACCUCACUGUCCCCCAGAGCCACUACUGAGAUAAUGACAAAAUGUUGGAGAGAAACAAGGAAGGGGCAAUUUUACAUGAGAAGGUUGAAACAGAGAGAAGCUCAGAGGCAUGGAGUGGAGGAGAGACAAACUGCAGCUCUGUGGACAGUGCCUGCUAAAUCACCCAGGAGGAAUUACUUACUCAGCAAUCAGUCACAGGUUUGCAGCAUGAAGGUCAGAUUUUAUGAGGAUCCCCUGGAAGUGCAUGGGGAAAGCACAGCAUGGCUGUGUGUCACUGCCCUGGCAUGGGAGCUAAAGCCAGGGCAGGCAGUGUGCUGGGCAGGGGACAGAGCCAGCCAGGGCAGCUUCCCCUGCCACUUCCUCCCCAAACCCAUCUGUACAGCCUCCUCACAGAGCUAGGGAAUGAAAUCAGCAGCCCAAGGGACCUGAGGGCUGAGGCAGGGGUGACAUUUGGAGAUGAACUGAAUGUCCUUGUCAGGAGGAGGAAAGCUGUUCUCUGGGGAUUUGUUUUUUGCUUUGUUUUCAGCUGUUCUUUGGUUCCAUGGAAUGUUCUCAGCACUGACAAUGCUCUCAUGCAGGAGCACAUUGGAAUAAGCAGCUCUGUUUUCUCCUGUCACUCUCCUGGGGCUCUGCCUCUCUGUGUGGGGACAGGCAGAAGGAACCACUGGCGUUUUUUGCUUAGAAAACACUGUUGAUGCACAAAGAUCUGUUCAGGACAUGUGGAGGGGCCACUGCCCCUCAGGCUUGCAGUUGACUGGGCUCAUGGAAGGGCCCUGAAGGAAGUGAAGAGGCUGAAACCCACAUGUUCAGCAAGGAUUGCCUGGGAAGUCUCAGCCUGGCCCUCCUGGGAAGGUUUUCCCCUUGGAGAGAAGCCAGAGGCAGCUUCCCCACAGCCCAGCUGAUGCUUGGGAAGCCUGGGCAGGAGCCAGUGAUCUGCACAAAGGGAUCUUCCUUCCAAGCAUGAGCAGCCCUUGUACACACAGCUCCCUAAGCCUUGCCAUGGUGACAGUUUAUGGCAGAUUAAAGCCAAGGCAGAUAAAAUAACUUGUUUUCCUGGUAUUGCACUGUAGAUCUUAGUACUGCAGGAAAUUAAAAAUCACACCUGAGGUACCUGAUGUUUCCUGGAUAGAGGUUCCUUUCUCCUGGGUGCUGCAGGCCUGGCUGGCACCCAGAGGCUGGGGGCUCUUCAUGGGGACAGGCACCUUUGGGGUCUGCUGGGGACUCCCCAAGGUGGGAAGAACACAUGAAGAAUGGGAUUGCAUUUGGUGCUGCACUUAAACAAAUCAAUGUGUGAAUCGAUGUGACUGCAAGAGAUGUGUUGAAGAGCCAGCUGACUGAUGUACCAUAUUAGCAAAUGUGAAGGGAAAGGAAAGAGAUGGCUAAACCUCAGGAAAAGAUGACCUUGAUCCAGUGCCCUUUAAAGCCACAAAGGCAUCUGUUUACUGGAAGAGACAGCUGCCAUUUUAUGUGGGAGCAUUGAGUCUCCACAUGCUAAGAGGUGACAUUCUGACUCUGCCUGCUGCCAUGACUGGGUGGCUUUAGGCCAGCUCAAAGCCCACUUUCCCCAGGAGGAACCUGCUGUGAUUCCCUUGCCCAGAGGGACAUUCUUCUCUCCACUCCUUGCUGAAUGCAGCAGACCCUGGUGGCCAUCAGGAUGCCUGGUCCGUGCCCUGGAGUUGGCCCUGCUGGAGGCACAGCAGGGCAUCCAUUCCCAUGCCCUGGGGCAGAGCAGGCAGGAGCCCUGGGCAGGGCUCCCAGACCCUGGCAUGGAGCAGUGGUUUGACCUUUGCUCCAUCUCCAAGGAAAGCAGCAUUUUACUGACAGGCUUUAGAGUGACGUGUGCUCUGUCACCUCUUCCCUCUCUCACUCUGCUCCUCGGUGCCAGUUUUUGCUGUUCCUUUGGUGCUGUUUUAGCUUGCUCCCUCUCUGCAUUUCCCCUCCUUCUAUAGCUUUGCUUCUGAUUCUCUUCUACUUCCGAUUUUUUUCCCUUUUCCAUGUCCUGCUGACCCCAAUCCUGCUCACCUGCCAGCCUGCCCCACUGGGACUAACUCUUGGGCUGCCCUCUCUAAAGAUUUGUUUUUUCCUCUCACCCAAGUGACAGCAGAUGAGGGAGUAGGGUGCUGCCAUGAGAUUCCUGUGCUUGCUUCCAUCAGUGCUUCCUGCAGAGUUGGGCGAUUAUUAUCUCUGUAAAUGACUGAAAGAAGUAGAGUGAUAAAAGGAUUAAGUGAGACGUAUUUUAUUUUAUUUUAUUUAUUUCUAUCUUGCUGCUCCUCCUCCCAUCCCCCUUGACAAGCUGUGGAGCAUAUUGUGCUGCAGCUGUUCCGGGGAGGAGCAGUGACAUGGAGAGCAGGGCAUGGUGCAGAGGGCUCUGGGAGCAGGCAGAGAGCACAGAUGGGUGUUUGGGCAGGGGGUGCAAGGGGCUGCAGCAGGAGGGCAACAGACCCCACUGUGAAGGGGCUGCAGUGAGGCAGCUUGUCCACUUUCUUGUCUCCUAGUCCUUCUUUUCAACACAGGGGUAAAGAGCCCAUGAGAAUGCAGUCAUGGAGCUCGACCUGGAGCUGCUCAGAGUGAGAGCUCCAGUGAGUUAUGCACCAGGAGGGCUGACACAGUGUCUCUGGACAGGAAUUGUUGCACAGAAAUCCCACAAACUGCUGCUUGCCUGGGGCCCAGGCACAACACAGUGGCACAGCACUGCUCCCACGGGCAGUGCCCGCCAAGCUGUUCCUGCAGCAGAUCCCUGCAGAUGCCACUGGAAGCAGCCUAUUCCCAGCUGAAGUUUAUUUCAGGUCUCCAUGUGUGUCUGCUAAAUAGCUGCCAGCCUACAGACUCCC